rnacentral:rRNA from 1 species
AACGAACGCUGGCGGCAGGCUUAACACAUGCAAGUCGAACGGGCGUAGCAAUACGUCAGUGGCAGACGGGUGAGUAACACGUGGGAACCUUCCUAGGGGUACGGAACAACUCAGGGAAACUUGAGCUAAUACCGUAUACGUCCGAGAGGAGAAAGAUUUAUCGCCCUUAGACGGGCCCGCGUCGGAUUAGGUAGUUGGUGGGGUAACGGCCUACCAAGCCGACGAUCCGUAGCUGAUCUGAGAGGAUGAUCAGCCACACUGGGACUGAGACACGGCCCAGACUCCUCCGGGAGGCAGCAGUGGGGAACCUUGGACAAUGGGCGCAAGCCUGAUCCAGCCAUGCCGCGUGAGUGAAGAAGGCCUUAGGGUUGUAAAGCUCUUUUGGCAGGGACGAUAAUGACGGUACCUGCAGAAUAAGCCCCGGCAAACUUCGUGCCAGCAGCCGCCGUAAAAC